GACGUAGGGCGCGAGCGUUGUCCGGAUUUAUUGGGCGUAAAGAGCUCGUAGGCGGCUUGUCGCGUCGUCCGUGAAAACCUGGGGCUCAACCCCAGGCUUGCGGUCGAUACGGGCAGGCUAGAGUUCGGUAGGGGAGACUGGAAUUCCUGGUGUAGCGGUGAAAUGCGCAGAUAUCUGGAGGAACACCGGUGGCGAAGGCGGCAUCCUGGACCAACACUGACGCUGAGGAGCGAAAGCCAGGGGAGCAAACGGG
rnacentral:rRNA from 1 species